ensembl:lncRNA
AAAGAGUUUGUGGAUUAGCGUUCCAUGCAAUAGCCAGAUCUUAAAAGACAGCUUUGUGAAUUGAAUAUAUAUGCGUUUAUGCUCAGUCUGGUGACUGACUCGUUGGGCUGCAAAACAAAAAGCGGUCUUUCUCAACCCAAGGAACCGCUGAUUUAUAAUAGAGAUCAUUAUAUAAUAUAGAUCAUUAGAUUAUUAUAUAUAUAUAUAUAUAUAUAUAUAUAUAUAUAUCAGUGAGUGGAAGUAACAAUUAGUUGACGGUCCCUUGAGCAGCUUGUAGGUGUUUUGCUCUGCUGUGAGUCGGAUCUGUCUGGUGCCGACAGUACAGAUGAGGUUACAUUAGACUCUGGUUUUACCCGUCUGAGCUGUAUUUCACCUUUUAAGCUCUAUGAUUUCAGAAGCAGCUGUUAUUGUUUCUGGAGCAUUACCCAUCCAAGUGCUCAUGGGUGUAAAAUGGAGACGGUCCGCUCGGAUGCCUUCAUCUGCAUUACACCAGUAAUGCUGGUUUUCUGACUGAUUGCAGAAGUAACCCAACUGUGAUUCAGAGCAGCAAGAGCGUAGUUUUGAUUUUGGCAUUGAUGGGAAGGAACAUGACAGCAGACAUUUCAAAAUUAUUGCUAGGGACAAUUUAGUAGCAGCUGGAUAUUGGUAGAGACGUACUAAACUCCACAUCAGUUAUUUUAGUGUCACUGAUACUUUUAUAGUUUUUGUUAAUAUUUUGAUUUUAUUUUCUGGUUUCACUUUAGUUUUUUAAAAUGUCUAUAUAGUUUCUAUUCAUUUUUAUUUAGUUAGUUUUGUUAUUUCAGUACUUAAAAUAAUACGUUUUUAUUUACAAAUGCGUUUUUUUAUAUUUUAUUAUUUAUAAAUAAAAUAUAAAAUACAUAUAUUAUUUUCAAUCAGUUAAUGCUUAUUUUGUUUAUUUAGCUUUUUUUUUAAGUUUUAGUUUUAGUAUACUAACCCUACAGAGGCCGAACAAAUGAAGUAUUUUAUAAUUUAUGUAAUUAUAAUUUUUUUUAAUAUGCCUUUUUUCCCCAUUUUAUCAGCUGUAUCACACAUUGCAUGGCUCUUAAGGAUUUAUUUGGAUCACUAAUGCUAUAUAUAGUGAAUAUAGAGAUGCUUGACCUGAGGUGGUGGAGAUGCUGGAUAAUAUAACAGAAGGGUUUGGCAGAGCAGACGUCCCACUGCACCCGCGACUGAUGCUUUCACAGCCCUCCUCCAACAUCUACUGUUAGAAGAUGUGUUAUUAUUACUCUGUUUUCAUCUUUCCUGUAGUGUUCAGUUUGGCUAAGAGACGGUUGGCAAGCUGUCUAGAAAUCAGUCAGUUUAUUUUAUUUUAUUUUAUUUUAUUUAUUCGUCCAUUUUUCCU